rnacentral:tRNA from 1 species
GGGUUGUUAGCUCAGUUGGUAGAGCAGCGGACUCUUAAUCCGUAGGUCGCGAGUUCGAGCCUCGCACAGCCCACCA